rnacentral:lncRNA from 1 species
CACCACACAUGCACACGACACACACACACACGCAAGGAAAGGGAAAGAGAGAAAACUCCUUUUCUCUCUCUAGAUCUCUCCCAAAAUUGAAGGUUUUGGUGGAGAAGCAAGCUUGGAAGUUGAUCUUCAUCUUCUUUAUCUUCUUCCUCUCCAUUAGAGCAAGCUUUGAAGGUAAGCUUCAAACCCUUUAAUGGCAUUUCUCUCUAGUUUGGUUUUUAAGCUCUAAGAAUGGAUUUAGAGGUAUUCUAGCAUGCUAAUUAGAGGUUUGAUGCUUGAAAUCAAGGCUCUAAUGGUGGAUUUUUACCUAUUGAAACCUAGAGCUCCAAAAUGAGGGCUUUAAUGGUAGAUCUCUAAAGAUAGGUCUAAAUGCUUUGGAAAUGGUUUUAGUGGAACCCAUUGAUGCCUAAUAGAUGAUUAAUGCUUGAAUCAUAGAGCAAUUUAAUGAUUUCUUGCAUAGUUGUAAACCUAGGGCUCAAAAUGCAAACUUUCAACAUAUGAGGGUUUGAUCUCAUUUGACCCUCCGUAAACCAAAUUGCUAGGUAACGAAACGCGUUGGCGAAGACGGUUCGGCAAUCCGACGAGCCGUUACAAAGUUAUUAAAGAAAUGGACGUUUAGGCUUCGGGUCCGCCGGGAGGGCCGAGGCGAUAUCGUAAAUUCAUGAAAAUGGAUUUGAAGCAUCGUGGCACAUAACCGAAGACCUUUAAUUUUCGGAUCGUGAAUUGGAGGCCGUUCGGGUGGUCGCGUGAGAGAUCGGGCCAAACCGGGUGCCGGGUGCCGCGGGCGGCCGAUUGCAAGUGUCGACAAGCAAUCGGAAUGCGAAAUGAGGUGGGUUGUGCUUACCGAAGCGACUAGGUCGCCCUUUAUGUCUAAGAAAUGAGAUUUCAUAUUGAUGCAUAUUGACAUAAUAUAAGAAUGUGAAAAGAAUGCAUGUUAACAUACUAUAGAAAUGCUAGAUGAAUGCAUAUGAUUAAUGCUUUGAAUGCAUAAUAUAAAGGGCGUAUGAAUGUUAGCAUUAUAAGAACAUCAUAAAAGGAAUGUAUGAUGACAUGUUGUAGAAUAUGCUAAAUGUAAUGCAUAAUGAAUUAAGUGCUAAAAGAAUGCAUGAGAUGCUAAGUAUGGACUAUUUUGGAUAAUGACUAUAUGUAUGUUGACAAAUCAUGUGAUGCUAGUGGUAUAUGUGCAUGAUGAUAUAUUAUGAAUUUACAUAUUGUGGAUUAUGUUAAAUAGAAAAACAUACUUGAUGACAUAUUGCCAUGUUGUGGAACAUAGUGGACAAUCUAUAUAUAUAUUAGAUCGAGUGGCAUUAAACCUAGCAUCUUGAACCUAGCAAACACUUGUGGUGAUUGAUCAUAUAUAUUCUGGUGUCAUUCAUGUAUGUUAGGACCCUAUUAUUGUGUAAAUGUGAGAGUUGGACUUGAACAUUAGUAAACAAGGGUGACAAUGACAAUAGAGACAUGAUUGGCAUCAAGAAAGUGAUUGUUAAACAUAGUUUAACCAUAUUGACAUUGGUCCAAGUUGACAUAGAGAGUGGCAUGAUUAAAUAGGUAGAGACCUAUCAUGACAUUGGCAUUGUGACGAGUGGCUAUGAAUCCUCAAGUUGAGGAUUGGAUCGAUACUCACGUUACGUCUUGGCUUGAGGGAGGUAGCUCCCCCUCGGGCGGUGCGCUCCGGAGUUGGUCACCACUGGGCGUGGUAAAGUCCCACCAGUUGACGGUCCCUAGGGAGGUUCGAGUCCCCCGUUAUUAAGGGAUUUGGUUGUGAGUUAUUGGGGUUAACAUGGUUAACCGGUAAGAUUGGGUCAUAGCCAAAUGAGUGUACAACAAGUAUGCAUUAUGAGUUAUGGAUUUGGUAUCCUAGUCGAGAGGAUUUAGGGCUGAGGUGUAUGUGAGACGUCCAUCGCCUCGAGCCUGGUUCUAGUGCGGUACUCCGCAGACGAUUGACUCAAGACCGAGUCGGGUGGUUAGCCUUGUAAAGGUAGAUGAAACUUUAUGAUUAAAACGGUGAUUGACAAGAAUCUAAGAUAGAGGAAACCUUAGAUAUCGAAUGGAUGAGCUAUGGUUAGCAGAAUUGAAAGUAGUGUCAAAUGAACUACUAGUUGGUUGCAUAGUUGCAUUAUUGCAUGAUUUGCAUAUAGCAUUGCAUUAUUGCAUUCGUGAGGCAAUGCAUGGUUUUAUUCGUUGCAUAAUCAAGAUAUAUAUCUAUCUGUUUAUUGAACUAACUUGCAGUUGCCUCCCUUGGACCUAUUGGUCGAGCUUUUCCCUUGGGUGGCCGUACCCACUGGGAACCAUGGAGUUGGUUCUCACCCCACGUGGUUUUGGGGUGUUACAGGUUCGCACGUGAGCGGCGCGGCGGCGCGAGGCGAGGGCGUAGCUCCAUAGUUAGCGCCCUACCACCGAGACCAGAGAUAGCGGUACCCUGAGUCGGCCUUACUUAGGGAUGUAAAGAAUGAAAAGAAUCAAGUUGUAAUAAUCAUGUUAAAUCGGAUUGUAUUUGGAAGUUAAGUGAAGGCUAAUGUAAGAACCAAUUGAGAAUUGUGAUGUAAAAAUAUAUGAAUAUGAAUGUAUGUAAUAAUAUAGGAUGUGUUUAUAUUGUUUGAUACCUUCCAUUAUGCAAUCUUGAUUGAAAUGUGUUCCUGGUUGGAACUUCGCACAUUGUUUUGAUUGCUAUGCCUUGAACGUACAGGGGAGACUCUGUCCGCAGUACAGGGGAAACCCUGUCUAUUCGGCGGUCUGUCGGCGGCGCCGCGAUCCGGCCAAAUAGGCGGGCGGUCGCGGGGCGUGACAGAUAAGAUGGUAUCAGAGCAUAAAAAGAACAUAAAAAGAAUAAUAGAAAAUGGUUUAGUUGGACCUAGGAAACCCUAGGAUAGUGAACCAUAGGAGAUUAAGGCUCGUGAGAGACGAGGACUUGUUUCUUUUGGCGAAAGGUUAAUUGAUUGGGUUAUGUUGUAAACCUCUAAAACGGAUGUUGGGGGUAGAUUCAAGGUGUGGUUUAUUCUCAACCGAGGGUGUUCAUGUUGGAUGCAUACAACAUGAAACCGAGUAAUGAGAAUAGACGACCUUGCGUGACUUUCGCCCGAUUUGAGUCGGUAUUAAGUGUUUCGUGUUCGACCUAGAAGGUCGAGGAUUAAUAAGGUCGUCGCGUUUUAGGGAGUAAUAGCAUCUCGUAGGCGAUCUUCAUUUAGAUCGGCGCGGGAUGGGCCAAGUGGUGUCCCUGGGCAAUUUGAGGCGAGCGGAGACUUGGAACUUCGCGAGUUUUGGCGUCCCUCGUGACUUUUGAGAAAUUAACGGGAUCCUCAUCGUGUUAAACCACUUUUGGUCGAAUUGACCAAAAUGUGUCGAGAGAAAUAGUUGCACAAGUUCCAAUUAGCAUUCCAACAAUGUUGGGAGGGUUAAAGUUGAGUUCCAAAAGAGUUAGAAAGGUUUUAGCAUUGCUCGGCGCGAGUUGGAGUCGAAGCGGUGCAAAAUCGAAAUUCUGGAACAUGUGUUACCGAUUUAACACCAGGGGGGUACCGGUAUAGCAUGGUUGUAACGAAGUGAAUUCUCGAGAGCCGAGAGUUGGACUUCGUUCAGGAUCGGCUAGUUGUUGAGUGGGUAUGUAAUAUACCGAAACUUCGGUAAGCGAACAUCGAACCUCAGUCAAAUUGACCAAAGAGCGAGGUUGGUACGCUUCGGAAAGGCCGAAGGCGUCAAAUAAUGCAAAAGUGCAUUACUGGGGAUCUUCGAGAGCUUUGGAAAUCAAAAUCUGCAAAACUGCAGAUUUUGUGCUCUCGGGGACCGGUCCCUGCCGGGAGAGACCGGUCCCCGCACUCACAGACAGCGAAAGGGAGGAAAAAUCGGCUAAGUCCUUGGUGGACAGCUCUCGGAGACCGGUCCCUGCUGGAGAGACCGGUCCCUGAGAGACCGGUCCCCCAAAGAAAGACCGGUUGCAUCGGGUGUGAGCUCUGCUGACUGCGGGGAGAAGCUCUCGGAGACCGGUCCCUCGUCGGGGACACCGGUCCCCGAACCCGAAAAUGGCCCAGUCAGGGCAGUGUAAAAGAAUAAAAGUUGAGGGGCUUGUUUGCACUUAUGCAACAUGUGGGGCUAUGUGAGGGGUAUGAGAGCUCUUUUCUCUUAUUUCUCACCCACACACCCUCUCAUAUCUCUCUUUCUCUCUCUAGCAGACAAGAAGAGGAAGAAGAAAGGAAAGGGAAGAAAAAGAAGAAGAGGGAGGUCUUCCUCAUCUUCCUUAUUUUCUCCUUGGUUGGAGCUUCUUUGAGAGGUAAGCUUCUAAGCUCUCUCCCAUGGUGGAUUUCUAGAGAUAGACUUGAUUGCUCUAGAAAUGGAGUUUUGUAUUAUGUGAGGGCGUAGUACCUGCCAGUACAGGUAUAGAGCCAGAUGGCACUAGCAAAGUGCUAGAAGUAAUUUAUGGCGAGAAGUGAGACUCGCGGUAGAAAUAGAAGCGUCGAAAUGACUCUCAAAGCAGUAUGAGUGGUAAAUUGCGAGAGUCGAGCCAUAACGCCUAUGGGCACCCGAGUAGUCCGAAAAUUUCGGAUGUCAUUCCGGUAAAUCGAACAGUGAAAGUAGCAUCACUUUUGAGAGAACGGUCGAUUAGUGGCCAAGUUUGAGCAUGUGGGCCUAGUAGUACCUCAAGGUGAGGUAGGCGGUUGUGCUCGUGCGGCCGGUGUGCAUAGGCAAGAUUGCCUAAUGCUGGACUUCGUGUGGAACGCUGUAGAGGCGUAGAGCGCUCGAGUGUAGAGACCCGCAGAGUACGGAUGCGUAUUCAGCCAAGUGAGUGAGUUGGCAGUAGCACUUGAGCAUUGCUAGGUGUGAAGCGUGCCAUGGAUCACUCGUGGGACUGGUGACUCGCACUAGGUGUAUAGGAGCCGAUAUUGGUACGUGUGACUCGGUAGAGUAUGUCGUGUAGGACGACGACGGCGGGUAGUGCUUGGGGACGACCCGUGCCUGGACCGUUUGUGGACUGUGGAGCCUGGGCCCAUUGGGCAGGCACAGUCAGCUGUGAGUGACAGCGGCCCGGUACCUACGGGUAGGGCGGAGUUCUAGUCAGGACGGUAGUCCGAGUUUAGGCCCGGGAGCGUGGAAUGCCACGCGAUAGAUUGUGUGACCGAUGGUACACCGAGUAUGGUUGUGACCCAACCCGAUGACUUGACGUGGUUUGGGGUCUUAGUUGCUCCUGGUUGGAGUGUGUGCGAAUUCCCAAGUGAGAAUUUCACCCGAUCAUGAUUGGGUCUACAUUUGCGAACGAGAGACGCUGCGUAUUGAGACAGGUUUAAGCUGUAAGCCUACGUAGGAUUGGUGGCCUUUGGUCCACCGGUGGAGACCGACAAGAGCGAUUUGGCAGAUAGCCUUAUCGAGGAGUUUGACUCGAAUUCACGAACGAAGUGCUCGCGUGAGCUCGUUGCGAGAAUAGUUUGAUGUUGAUCGUGGCAUGUGGUAUCAGAUGAUGAAGUACUCUUUGUGAGACAUCAAUCUAGUGGAAAGCCACAUGAUGUUGGAGACUAUGCUUGUAAGCGAACUGAGACUUGAGAUGUGCCGAAGUGGGCCAUCUCGCGUUAAAGUUAAGGGUCAGUGCAAAAUUAGAGCACUCAUGACGAAGCGAUGCAUCGGUGAUAUUGCUCCUAAGCAAUGUCGGUGAUCGAAUCAGAAUGUAUUCCCUGAAGGGAAGGUAAGUGCAAGAAAGAGUUCUUUGUGUACCGAAUGGCGAGUGGUGUUGGAGCGCGUAGAGUCGUCGAGUAUCGACUUACGCUGCCACCAUGACAUGCAAGACCCGUGAUGCACUUUUCUAUCACACCUUGCAAAUGUGUCUAGGAUUAAACCCACGUCCUUCAGUAUGAGCCGCUUCUGGAACCACGAUAGUGUGAAGCCGCUCCGGAGUGGGAAAAUAAGUUGGUACCCUCAAUUGCUCACAGAGCUGAAUUGAGGCGUGGUUUGAAUUUCGCGGACGAAAUUCUUUUAAGGGGUGGAGAAUGUAACAUACCAGAUUUUGGUAUAAAAAUAAAAAUAAAUAAAAAUAGUGUGAGAAACUAUUUUUUUUGGGUUUAUAGAAGUAAAGCAUAAGUCAGAAGUGACUUGUGCUGAAAUCGGAAUGAAAACAGAAGAUCUAGAAUUUUCUGUUGGAAACGGGACAGAGAAAUUAGCAGAAAAUGCACAGUCUCAGAAAAUUAUGAAAAUUGGAGGAUAAGUCAGAAAUAUUUUUAUGAGGCUAGAUUUAAAGUUUCAUAUUUUUCUGACACCCGUAGAGUGAGAAAUAAAAUCCGACAGUUAUCUGAUAAAGAUUACAGUUCGGUACGAUUUUCGGUGACCAAAUGACGUCGAAACUGGAAACUUAAAAUAUAUUCUUGCUCAGUACGUAAAACCGAAUAUGACUGUCAAGUUUGAGCUCAAACGGACGUUCAGGGAGCUCCGGCGAAAGUUAUCAGAUUUUAAGUUGCCUGGAGUGAAUAGUGUUGGAUGUUAAUGUAUAAAGAAGCUUUGCUUCUUCUUCUUCCUCCCAGCCGCACACACACACCCGCACACACACACACAACACACGCAUGGAAAGGAAAGGAGAAACCUCUCUUUUCUCUUUCUAAUUCUCUCCCAAAAUUGAUGAAAUUGGUGGAGAUUGAAGCUUGGAGAUGGAUUGCCUUCAUCUUCUUCAUCUUCUCCAUGGUUUGGAGCUAAUUGAGAGGUAAGCUUUAGCUACCCUUUAAUGGUAGAUUCUUAAUGGUUGGUUUAAAUACCUUAGAAAUGGAUUUAGAGGAAUCCUAGCAUGCUAUCUAGAUGAAUGAUGCUUGAUUCAUGAAGGAAUUUGGUGAAUUUUUAUCUAGUUGUAAACCUAGGGUUCAAAAUGCUAAUUUUCAAAAUAUGAGGGUUUGAUAUAAUUUAACCCUCUGUAAACCUAAUUGCUAGGUAAACGAACGCGUUGGCGAAGUCGGUUCGGCGAUUCGUCGAGCCGUUGCGAAGUUAUUAAAGAAACGGACGUUUAGGCUUCGUUUUCGCCUAGAGGGCCGAGGUAACGUCGUAUGCUCAUGAAAACGAAUUUGAAGCAUCGUGGCACAUAACCGAAGACCUUUAAUUUCCGGAUCGUGAAUUGGAGGCCGUUCGGGUGGUCGCGCGAGAGAUCACGCCAAACCGAGUGCCGGAUGCCGCGGGAGGCCGAUUGCAAGUGUCAACAAGCAAUCGAAAUGCGAAAUGAGGUGGGUUGUGUUUACCGAAGCGACUUGGUCGCCCCGCAUGUCAAAGCGAAAUGUGGAAUCUUGUUGAUGCAUAUGUGUAUGUGCAUACGGGCAUAUUAGCAUUGUAUAAAUGCAUGCUAGUUGGUAAUUUGCAUAUUAGUAUGUAUGCUUAGUGAAAUACAUGCUAGGAGCAUUUAGCAUUAUGAGAUUCAUGUUGACAUGUAUUAGAGAACGUGAGCAUAUAAAUGAAUGUUAACAUGUUGUUAAUUAUAUGAGUUAUGAGAAAUUGCUAAAUGUGGACACAUGUUAGAUGACAAUAAGCAUAUUGACAUUAUGAAAAUGCAUACUAUAGGAUAA